UACAGAGGGUCCCCGAGCGUUGUUCGGAUUCACUGGGCGUAAAGGGUGCGUAGGUGGCAUGGUAAGUUUGAUGUGAAAGCUCAGGGCUCAACCCUGAAAUGGGCAUUGAAUACUACUGUGCUGGAGGUUUGGAGGGGGACUGGAAUUCUCGGUGUAGCAGUGAAAUGCGUAGAUAUCGAGAGGAACACCAGUGGCGAAGGCGAGUCCCUGGACAACACCUGACACUGAGGCACGAAAGCUAGGGGAGCAAACAGG
rnacentral:rRNA from 1 species